rfam:Paenibacillus yonginensis strain DCY84 chromosome, complete genome.
CACAUGCUGUAACCGCACCAAUCGGGUACAUAAGUAUGCUUGAAAUAAAGCGUCACCUGAAUUAGGCGAGUCUGAGACAUGAG